CACACGGGAGAGGGGCGUACGGCACACGCGCAGCGCGGUAAACGCCCCCGCACCCAGCCGGGUUAGGUUAGCGGGCGUGCUGCGUUGGGAAGGAGGGAUCGGCGGUCGGGACGAGUAGGGGAGGAGGGGCGAGGGAGGUAGGAGGGGGUACAGCGGCGGGGAGAAGAGGGGCGUGCGGAGCCGGCGGAGGAGAGGAGGCGGCACAGCAGCCCGGGGAGGGAGGAGGAUGGAGGAGGAAGGAGGAGAGUCAGGGCACGGUCGGCGGCGGGUUUGGGAUCGGGGGCAAAGGGAGCUAGGGUUGUCAUUGGCGUAGGUGUCGGUGGAAGAGUGUCGGCGACGUGGUAAGGAGGGAAGACGGGGAAGGAGGAAGGGCCUAGGGGUGGUGCCGCGGCUGUACAUCUGUUUCCCGGUCCGCCACCACGCGGGCGGCCUAGGCUCCGUGCACCCUCCCGUCGUCACCGCGCAGCUAGUCUAGCUCUCGCUGGGGCUACCUCCCCUUCCCUGGCCAUCCGCGCACGUCCGCCGUCUUCGAACCCCCUAACCCCUCUACCGCCGGUUGGCUCAAAGAAGCUGACUAGACCUGUACCGGUACCGUCGCGUGCGUUCCCCGCCUCCGCUCGCUGGGAGACCUCGUUGCGUGUAGCUGUCCCUGUUUUGUUGUGCGAUUACCGGUCGUCUACCUGAAUUCUAGAAGGUCUCCAUGAAGUAAAAUUGAUAUUUUUUACUUACGACUGUUUCACGUUUAUACUAUGUCAAAACGACUAACCUACGUAAUAUAAGGUUCAAUUGGAAACGCAACUCUUAUAGUAGGAUAAAAAAUAUCCUUGUUGAGCGAUAGUCACGUAAUGUUAAAACACACCAUGCAAACAAAAAUGGAUAAGGUCAAGACUCGGAAUGAACAAGUAUACCAAAGUUAACGGCAGAGAGUACACUGCAACUCUUUUAGUGUACAUAUACGCAUAAAAAAGGAGACAUGGGACUAAAUAGAAUCAGGAAUACAGUUUCUAUGACCUACAUCAUUAUCUAGCUGCAUGAUUGUUUACGUUUCUCUUACUUGGAGGAGAACUAAUCGAGUUCUCCUGGACAUAUCACCGAAGUACAUUAAAGAACUAAAGGGUAUUACUAAAACGACCGUUAAACAGUCACAAAAAUAUCGACUUUAACGUACAUAUAUAAUGUUUAAAUGUAACGUUGUUUAAUUAUUCCUCAUAUCUUCGUAAACGUAGAUAGAUUGUAUAAACAUACCAUACAAAGUUUUUAGAGUUCCAAUCUAUACAUGACUACAUACUCCGAUAGUAAUCCUACCUUCUGUUAAUUACAAUUUUAUAACAAACUAAAAGGAAGCAAGACAUUUGUCGUUAUGUUCGAUACAAACGUGGUACUAAGAUAAGGUUAAAAAAAUUGUUGACUGUUAAUUGUUGUGUAGUUUACAACGCAUAACUUUACCCAGUAUUACCAAUAUAAGAUGCUGUCCUAAUCAAAACAAAUAUGACAUUGGACAAGUUCCUAACUACUCAAAAGCUUGGGAUGCUAGAAACGUGUGAUUCCAAGUCAACACAAGAAACACUUUAUAUGUAGGACGUUCAGAGUACACAGAACGCAACAAAAACGAAAGGUUCGAUGUCCGAAAACUAUAUGAGUUUUACUCUAAGAAAUAUACCACAAGCUAAGGAGAACGAUAGUGGUGUUGCCCUUUACAGAAUGGGGGCGUUUUUUUUGCCCUUUACAGAAUGCCACCGUUAUACGUGAAGAUACUACAGACUAACUGAAAAAAAAUCGUACUUCUUAUUUAAAAUGAAGUGAUUCUAAUCAAAGACAAGUGUAACGAGACAUAUAUUUUUUCCUAACAACACGAAUGUUCCAAAUACUGUAAAACCGCUUUGUAAUAAAUCAUUUUUUCAUACAUCUCCACUUGAAAUCUCCACUUUACAACACCUACAAGACUGUUUCUCUACGAACCUGAUUGAAAUCGCAGUGUGGAAUAAGUUAUAGACCCAUAACCAAAGAUGAUUGACAGUCACGGAAUUAAAAAGAAAAGGAGGGUUACGGUACACUAUAAAUGACCUGAUAUUAAGUGUACGAACGUUCAGCAGCAGCACAGAGAGAGAGAUUGACGGGGGGAGGGUAGUAGAACCGAACGAGUGACAGUGAUACAGUCUAUGGUAAAAUAAAUAGAGUAAUUCAACAUAACUAACCGUUUUUGUGGAGUGUUUACGGUUUUUUAUUCGUUGAGGAGAACUAGUCGAGUUCUCCUAGAGGUCACCGAAGUACCAUAAAGACUUACAUAGACAUAUGGUCGGCUUGCCCGUUUAUGAGUUCACUGACUUACACCACUGAUAUUUUCAGUCUUGGCCCAUGAAAAUAGAGAACACCUCUUAUAUUUAUAAAAACACCCACGAGAACACAUGUAUAUUUUUUAAAUUCCACCAGUACUAAGUCGACUGAUCCAAAAAAAAGACACACUUCCUUUCUUUUUUCAACCAUGGAUUAUCUUGGUUUCAUUAGCUAGGAGAAGACAUGUAAACAUCUUUAUUUUAUCUUAUCGAACCUUUCAUCAAAGCUAUAGUAAAAACCUUUAUCGUAUAUCCAUCAGUACCGUCCAAAAGAUACUAGGUUUAUUCUCAUGUGUACGGAAACAAAAUUGUAUGUCUAAUUUACAACUUUUCAUGUAAAACUAACGAAUCAGUCACAUAAUAGGCAAGUUUUUUUUCAGUUACAUAACUAUUAUCAAACCGAAGGAACCACCACAUCUAAGUUCCUUUAAAUAUUUUAAGUACGUAAGAAAGAAUUGAAAAAACGUAAAUAUACAAGACAUGACAACUCAUUUGAGUCAACGUCGAUAUCGUUCACUCGAGAUAUAAGUUAAGUCGAUUGUCAAAAACAAGGAUGAUAAUUUUGUAUAUGACAAAAAAUUCUCUUUGUAUGGAUUACAAAAUAAACUAAUUGGGACAUACAUAUCGUUUAAAGAAGAUUAAACAAAAAGAAUUCACGACUUCUGAAGGUAUUCCCGCGUUGAUGUUUAUCAAGAAUAGAAGUCUCCCAUCGGAAUCAGAGAGAUGGAAAAGAAAAAACCACAACUAUUAACCUAAUUUAUACAAUCUAUCGACGACUCAUAAAACUAAACAAGAAUCCUUUUAGCAAAUGUGGUUCUCUAUCUUCUGGACCUCCUGUGACCCAUAUUCAACUCUCAAGAGCGUGUUUUAGUAGGGCUGUGUGGCAUUUUACCUAUCUACUGGACAAACGCGGAGUUCUUCAGUAUCCGUCCUGGUUUAUAUACUACCUCACGUGCUGGUUUUAGAUAGGUAAAACCAGCACGCGAGGUAGUAUGUAAACGCGGAGAUUUUAAUCAAACAACUGAUUUAACACAACAAGGGAAAACGGCAAGAGAUGAGAAAAACAGCAAAAUUGACAUUUUAUACUAUAUACUAUAUUACCAAUAAACAUAUAGCUCGUCCACUACAUUAAUGAAAGUUAUCACGAAGUCGAGACGUUAGCUGUCAAACUGGAGUACGAUCCCGUUGGAGUCGGUCAACGGAGAAGAUAGUUUCACGACUACCUUCUGUAGGACUCAGGAAUAACGUACGAUCUCUUGUUGUUGAUAGAACAACCGCUAAGGGGACUAUAAACCAAGAUGUUCACACCGUAUACCUGGUUACUUUCGUUUCUAUAAGACUUACAUUAUCGAUAUACCCAACGCGGUUUACCCAGUUGUCACCUUCGCAGUGCGAAUUCAUGGACACCUACACAUGAUACGUUCGUAAAAGUCUGUUACGUUACCGUGGGACAAACAUGUAAGUGUGGGAAACUUACGGUGUUAGUCUGAUUCUUCUACAGAUUUACUCAACACUCCGACGGAGGUAUAUUCACAAAGACAUUUGACUAGAUACAGUAAGAUGAUGGACAUGACCAUAGACAUUAUGUUAGGUGUAACGUAAGUUACUCGUUUCAAACUAUUUAACAUAGACAGCAGUAUAGGUGUGAUUGAAUGAGCGAAAAGGCUUGUAACAUAAUAAAAAGUGAACUUUUGGCUAGAUUCAAUCAGAUGAU
rnacentral:rRNA from 1 species